CCCCCCGUGUCUCCUGCCCACGGGGCCUGAUUCCCUCCUCCCUAUGCGCCCUCAUCCCAUCUGGCAGGGUUUCUGAUGCGUGAGAUUCUCAAGCACGGCAUGGGUCUCCUGUGUACGCCAUGGGGAUUUGCUCCACAAGACGAGAGGUGCCUCCAGAUCCUUCCAAAAAAAUCUUCUCUUCUGUUUUGGCUUUUGCCGAGAGGAAGGAGGCGUCUGUCAGUCAUGCAUACAAUCUCCUCCGAGUGCCCUCCGCAGGACUGAACGCUCUGACCUUACUCAUCUUGCCCAGAGCUCUGCCUUCCGUCUGACUCUCCUCCCCCGUGUCGCCACGAGCAGCAGAGCAGCAGGAAACGACGCUGCGCAGCUACACUUUGCUUGGAAACCUUCUUGGCUAAACAUCCACGCGGACUGCUCCCAAGUCCUGCUUUCCUACAACCGAGGGGCAGAACUCGGCAGAGCUUUCCACGAGGUAAUGCUGCACAUCCAGCCUCCGUUCCCGCUGACAUGGGCCUCGCUGUUCUGGGCCCUCACCGGCAGCGCCCCACAUCCCUGCUUCUGCCGACAGACGCUCGCGCUGGCUCCGGGCAGUCCUCAAGGUGAACUCACCAGGAUUCCUCCGUGGCGCCCCUCAUUUACUCCUGGGUCUUUGGUAGGGGACACAUCAAUGUCCGGGCCCCCUCCUACCAAUCGUCUUGCUUCAGAAAACCGAGGCUUUUUCUACUGUGCCCCUCAAAAUCCUUCCAGCCUCUGCCACUGCCACGCCCCAAGGCCACUUCUAAAUUUGAUGUGUUUGCUGCAGUAGCACCCCACCCCGGGACCGAAAUCUGCAUUUAUUUCCUGUCCCCGCUGUGGCUGCUUACCACACACCUAGUGACUUACGUCGCAGCUCUGGAAGACAGAGGUCCAAGAUGGUCCCUACUGGACGACAAUCCGAUGUCAGCACAGCUGCUUCUUUCUGAGGCUCAAGGGGGAGAAAACGUUUUCUUCCUCUUCCAGCUUCUUGAGGUGCUGCACUCUGACUCAGGGCCCUUUCUCUCCCCUUCAUCGAGCCUCUCCCUCCACGGAUACGGAGUCCUGUGUGGUUUCUCGCUUUCCGGGACAGAGCUAACAACGGGGUGUGGGCGGGUAAGCGAACGGCCUGUCGGGGCAGAGUGGGGACUCCACUCCCGGUGCGCCCACCGAAAGCUGAGUCCUCAGCACGGAGCCCAGCUGCCCCGGGAGCGCCGCACGCAGCCACUUGCCGUGCGGGCCAAGGAACCAAUGCAGAGGCGAGAAGGCUUCCCCGAGGCUUAAGCGGGCCAGGAUGUUCUGGCUCUUGCAGCAAAGAGCCAGCCAGCUGGAGGAGAGCACAGGGCACUGCCCUCACCCUCAGGAGGCGUGCAGACUGCUCCUCAUCCUGGCUGCCUGUCCCUUCCUGGGUAGACUUUCUGAGGCCCUGUGCCAGUGCUGUGCCCACAGAUCCCACAGCUCUUUCCUGAGUCAGAGCUACACGGACCAUGUGUGUCCUGGACAGCUUUCUGCAGAUGCAGGUGUCACACACGUACACUCACACGCAGAGACCAUGACUCCCACCGUGUACGGGGUGUUGGGGGAAGGAACAGAACAGCCGUCAACAGCCAGAGAAGGCAGUCCCCAGGCCAGAUGUCAGGGCACGGCGCCCUCUACUCUCUCCUCUGCCCACACAGUACCUAGACUGACUCCAGGGUUCAGGCACCCCCUCCCCUUCUGCUCCCCAAGUCCGGCCUUGCCCCUGCAUUCAUCCCACUCCGGAGCACUCCCCUAAGCUCACCCCUUGGACCACACUGCCAGGCCAGCGCUAGCCCUUGCAGCAGAGCCCCCGGGGCCAGGCUGGCCAGGAAGCCGCCCCCCCCCCCCCAACUCCAGAGAACACUCUGGGGUCCCUGCCACCUGCACGGGAAGGCACAGCACGAGAGAUCAAGCCCCUGCCCCGCCCCCAGAGACUCGGGAGACAAGGCAUGACCCCCACACCCCCAGCUUCCCGAGGUCCUGCAAGCCCAGGCUGUGGACACAGGUCAGCAGGGGAGCCUGUGGUUGGCCCUGGCAGGAAGAGCCCAGCCUGGGGUGCGCAGAGACCACACGAGGGGGCGGGAGGCAGGCCACCUUCAGUCUGGCACCAGCCCUGGCACUCUCAGCAAGGGUCAUCGAGACGCCGAGGAUACACACAGGCGCUGACCUGAGAGAAUUCUUUUUAUUACGACCGACCGAACAGGUGAGCGGAGCAGGGACACCCAGCCUUCCGCCAACAGCCGCUUCUCCACACAGGCCGUCCGUCCGCCCAGGCACCUCGGUCCUAGGCCCAGCUAGUCCAGGGGCCCUCGUGGGCAGCAGGGGCAGGAGAGGGGGACAUGACCACAGGGUCAGGGCCCCUGUGGGGCACCCCCAGCCACGCCCACCCUACUCCACCUGCUCUGAGCCGCCAACAGCCAAGAUCCAAGCAAGGCCAGGAGAGGGAGGUCUGAGGGGGGGAUGGGGCGGAAUCUCUAGAAUAACCCCACCCUGAUGACAAACCAAAGCGAGCCAGAGUCCCUCCUGGGAAGGAGCCCCAGCUCUCACUGGUGUGUUUCUC